AAUGAUACUCUUGCGUUCGGCGUAACUCGCUGCUUGUGUAGGCGAGAUAUAGGGCUUCCGGCUGGAACUUAUGUCGGUUGAUCUAUAU
rnacentral:sRNA from 1 species